GACAGAGGGUGCAAACGUUGUUCGGAAUUACUGGGCGUAAAGCGUGUGUAGGCGGCUUUGUAAGUCGGAUGUGAAAGCCCCGGGCUCAACCCGGGAAGUGCACUCGAUACUGCGAAGCUUGAGUACUGGAGAGGUUGGUGGAAUUCUCGGUGUAGAGGUGAAAUUCGUAGAUAUCGAGAGGAACACCGGUGGCGAAGGCGGUCGACUGG
rnacentral:rRNA from 1 species